rnacentral:hammerhead_ribozyme from 1 species
GUACAGAUGAAGAGUCCGGAACUAGGACGAAACAGCUGUCCAGUAC